rnacentral:rRNA from 1 species
UAGGGAAUCUUCCGCAAUGGACGAAAGGCUGACGGAGCAACGCCGCGUGAGUGAAGAAGGAUUUCGGUUCGUAAAACUCUGUUGUUAGGGAAGAAAAAAUGUAUAGUAACUAUAUACAAAAGAGACGGUACCUAACCAGAAAGCCACGGCUAACUACGUGCCAGCAGCCGCGGUAAUACGUAGGUGGCAAGCGUUGUCCGGAAUUAUUGGGCGUAAAGCGCGCGCAGGUGGUUUAGAAAGUCUGAUGUGAAAGCCCACGGCUCAACCGUGGAGGGUCAUUGGAAACUAAUAAACUUGAGUGCAGGAGAGAAAAGUGGAAUUCCUAGUGUAGCGGUGAAAUGCGUAGAGAUUAGGAGGAACACCGGUGGCGAAAGCGGCUUUUUGGCCUGCAACUGACACUGAGGCGCGAAAGCGUGGGGAGCAAACAGG